CACAUACUCACACACUCACUCUCCAGCUCCUAUAUGUAUGUUCCAUCACAGAACUCGUGAAUGUUUGAGGCACAAGUGGAUUAACUUCUGACUCGACCAACUGAUUUAUGAGCCAGCCUCCUUGCAAUCAGGACCAACAACUGUAAGGCAGAAGAUGUAGGGAAGGCUUGCAGAUCAAAGGGCAGCACAAGACAGACUGGUCUUAGAAACAUUCCCAACAUGCACUUUUGUGCUUCCCUUCAUCUGGAUGGCCACCAGCAGAUGGAUUUCCCAAAAGGAUGAGAGAGAAUCUGUGCCAUCACCAGCUGGUCUUCAUCCUCCGAUGAAGAAGAGGACUCUGGGGUUGGAUGCCAAGGUGCAGUGCGCUUCAGAGCAAGGGCCUUCCCCUUAUCCAACCCAGUACAUCUUUGAGAGACAUCCUGACCUGAAUACUCAAAAAGUAUUGAAACUCCAAACCUCCAACCACCAAUUUACUUACGAAUGCCAGCAAUUAUGGUUUUCCUUCAAUUUAUUUGCAAUCUUCAACUGGGGGGGGGGAAAGGAGUCAAAAGCAAAUAAUCUCCCAAAUAACCAGGGGCUAUUUACCCCUAAGCAAAGAAGCUACUAUAGCCAACUAUCAACACCCCCUCCCCCACCACCCAGUUGCACCAAAGUGCGCCUGCAAUGUGCCUGCUGGGAGGCUGACCUGGCCUCUGACCAAACCUGAGCGGGUUGCAUUUGCUGCUGCAGCCCCAGCUGCAAAGGCUGUGGCCAGCACAGGUGGGCCACACACAGCACCACUUGCCAAUCCCCACAGUGCCACAUACAAGGCAGCAGCCAAAGCAAGUGGGUCCCAAGACCACUUGACUAAUUCCUGCAGUGCCGCAUGCAAUGUCUUCUUCCGUGCUGUGAUGCAGAGCAAAGCAGCUUGUGGGAGGCGUGAUCAGUGUUAAGGUGCAAAUCUGCUUCCACCUGAUUGGAGGAAGCAGAUCUUCCUCCUGAUCUUCCUCCUGACAAAAUGGCAGCCAUGUGUGUCCCAUCCUCAGAUCAGGCACAACCUUGCUGCCUUCCAAACUGCACAGGGGUAGGAGUGGCAAAGCAUUGAAAGUACCUUUGUAUCAUCAUAACAUUUGUGAGAAAGAAAGCUGUGAAU